rnacentral:rRNA from 1 species
AUUGAACGCUGGCGGCAGGCCUAACACAUGCAAGUCGAGCGGAUGAAGGGAGCUUGCUCCUGGAUUCAGCGGCGGACGGGUGAGUAAUGCCUAGGAAUCUGCCUGGUAGUGGGGGAUAACGUCCGGAAACGGGCGCUAAUACCGCAUACGUCCUGAGGGAGAAAGUGGGGGAUCUUCGGACCUCACGCUAUCAGAUGAGCCUAGGUCGGAUUAGCUAAUUGGUGGGGUAAAGGCCUACCAAGGCGACGAUCCGUAACUGGUAUGAGAGGAUGAUCAGUCACACUGGAACUGAGACACGGUCCAGACUCCUACGGGAGGCAGCAGUGGGGAAUAUUGGACAAUGGGCGAAAGCCUGAUCCAGCCAUGCCGCGUGUGUGAAGAAGGUCUUCGGAUUGUAAAGCACUUUAAGUUGGGAGGAAGGGCAGUAAGUUAAUACCUUGCUGUUUUGACGUUACCAACAGAAUAAGCACCGGCUAACUUCGUG